UACAGAGGUCUCAAGCGUUGUUCGGAUUCAUUGGGCGUAAAGGGUGCGUAGGUGGCGCGCUAAGUCAGGUGUGAAAUUUCGGAGCUUAACUCCGAAACUGCAUUUGAUACUGGCGUGCUUGAGGACUGGAGAGGAGACUGGAAUUCAUGGUGUAGCAGUGAAAUGCGUAGAGAUCAUGAGGAAGACCAGUGGCGAAGGCUGGUCUCUGGACAGUUCCUGACACUGAGGCACGAAGGCCAGGGGAGCAAACGGG
rnacentral:rRNA from 1 species